AGGCUUUUUCGGGAUUCAUGUCGGUUCUCCGGGCGCUCCUCCUUGCGGAGGUUGCUGCAGGUGGUCGGAUCGUAUCCUCGGGGGGUGUUGGGACGACGCAUGAGUGGCAGUCAGGAUUGGUUCCCAUUGCAGGCUCCGUGCUUCUCGCAUCGAACUGCUUUGGUCAGUCCGUUUCAUUUGCUCGCGACGGUCGGUCGCGAGCGUGAGUGGGUUCCUGUGCCGGAUACCGUAUUUUGGUUCUCGGAUUCAUUGUUGUCCACUUGUCGGGUUCCCUUGUUCCGCCUCCGCCUUCUCUGCGUUGGUGGUCAUCGUGCGAGCAUUGAUGCUUUCUGUCCGGGCGGUCGUCCUAAUCUGGGCGUAUUCGCUCGUGUCGGAGCGUCAAUGCCGUCUGCCUGCUCUUGGGUACGGAGAUAUCUCUUGUCAUCGCGUGGUCCUGUGUUGGCCGUUGCGAUCUGGACGUGUCGGAGCUUCUUUGCUUCCGCUCGGGUGACCCUCGUUCUUCCCUUGGAACUCACGGAACCUCUCCUCUCCGGUUUAUCCUCGGGUGGCAAUGAGGUGUACAAUGGAAUGCUACCUGGUUGAUCCUGCCAGUAGU
rnacentral:misc_RNA from 1 species